CCUACGGGAGGCAGCAGUGGGGAAUCUUGCGCAAUGGGCGAAAGCCUGACGCAGCAACGCCGCGUGCGGGAAGAAGGCUCUCGGGUUGUAAACCGCUUUCAGCAGGAACGAAAAUGACGGUACUUGCAGAAGAAGGUGCGGCCAACUACGUGCCAGCAGCCGCGGUGACACGUAGGCACCAAGCGUUGUCCGGAUUUAUUGGGCGUAAAGAGCUCGUAGGCGGUUCGGUAAGUCAGGUGUGAAAACUUUGGGCUCAACCCAAAGCCUGCAUCUGAUACUGCUGUGACUAGAGUUCGGUAGAGGAGCGGGGAAUUCCUAGUGUAGCGGUGAAAUGCGCAGAUAUUAGGAGGAACACCGGUGGCGAAGGCGCCGCUCUGGGCCGAAACUGACGCUGAGGAGCGAAAGCGUGGGUAGCAAACAGGAUUAGAUACCCUGGUAGUCCACGACCGUAACGUAGGUCGACUAGUGUGGUUCGUACCAACGAACUACGCGCCGUCGCUACGACAUAGUCGCCCGCCGUCGGGAGGUACGGCCGCGAACGGUUAAAACGUACAAUAGAAUUAGACGGCGUGAGACGNGCCGACGGACGACGACGAGGGAGGUAGG
rnacentral:rRNA from 1 species